CCUACGGGAGGCAGCAGUGGGGAAUAUUGCACAAUGGGGGAAACCCUGAUGCAGCGAAGCCGCGUGAGUGAAGAAGUAUCUCGGUACGUAAAGCCCUAUCAGCAGGGGAGAAAAUGACGGUACCUGACUAAGAAGCCCCGUCUAACUACGUGCCAGCAGGCACGGUAAUACGCAGGGGGCAAGCGUUAUCCGGAUUUACUGGGUGUAAUGGGGUCGUAGACGGUAGGAAAAGUCUGGAGUGAAAUCCCGGGGCUUAACCCCGGAACUGCUUUGGAAACUGUGUGGCUGGAGUGCAGGAGGGGUAAGCGGAAUUCCUGGUGUAGCGGUGAAAUGCGUAGAUAUUAGGAGGAACACCGGUGGCGAAGGCGGCUUACUGGACUGUAACUGACGUUGAGGCUCGAAAGCGUGGGGAGCAAACAGGAUUAGAUACCCUGGUAGUC
rnacentral:rRNA from 1 species